ensembl:lncRNA
GUUUGUUGGGAAAUGAGGAUGUGCAGUUUAUGGGCCACUCAAUUCUGCCUGACAUUUUUACACAUUUAAUCCCCUUAAAGUAGCUUGUGUUCCAAUCUAGUCUUUGCUGCUUAAUUUAUUAUAAUCUUGAGACAAGUCAUUUUUAUCCCAGCUCCUUCACUUGUAAAAUAGGUACUAAAUCCCUUCCUCAAAGAGCCCUUUACUCAGCAAAAAUAAAUUUUAAAAAUGUCUGUUGGGCCUCUACUAUAUGCUAAAGCUAACAGUGGCAAAUACAACCAAGUCUUAGUUGUCACAGACCUUAUAUUCUAGCCUGGGAGACUGCACAGGCAUCAUUACAAACAAAUGCUUCAUGCUUCAAAGGAAAUCGGGUAACAAGAAAACUGGGGAAGGCCUAAGACGACAUUUGAGUUGAGACAUACCAUCCAGAUGAGAUGAGCCAGCCGACGGAAGAGCAGCCAAGGCAAGAGAAACAGCAAGUGCAACAACCCAAUGUGGGGAAGGGCUUGGUGUGUCUGAGAAGAAGAAACUAAGUAUAGCUGGCUUGGUAUGUCUGAGAAAAAAAAUUAAGUUUAGCUGGGAAUGCUAAGGGAAGAAUGAUAGGAGGUGAAAUAAGAAACAUAGCAAGAAGUAGAUUUGAGGAAGCUAGUUUAGAUUUUGUUCCCUGAGCAAAAGGAAACUGUUAGGGUUUAUAUAUCUGGAUGUCCCCCUGAUAAAGGACAUAUAUGAUCUAUGGACCUCCAAAUAAUGAAAGGGAAAUAUGACUCCCGACCUGCUUGAUACCAUACAUGCUAAGUUCUGUUUUUCUAAAAUCAAAGGAUGAAAAAAAAAAUAAAAUCAAAGAAUGAAUUCUAGGAAGAAUAGAAGUUAACAGUAGGAAGAAUUUAUUGAGAGAAAGAAAGCUUCUAAGAGAGACAGAAAGCGGGGGUUGGCACUGGAAAGUGCUCCCCCCAUUCUCAAGGGUGUUUCAUUGAGCAAAGCCACGAAGUGAAGCGGGUUUAAGGUAGAACAAAACUGCAGUCAACUAAGAAGAUUAAAAGUUUAGUCUCUUAGGUAAUAUUGAUCCAAUGGGAAAUCGCAAGCUCCUGCCCUUUGCUCUCUGCUUCCUGCUAUGAGGUGAGCAGCUUUCCUCCACCAAGGCCCUUCUGCCAUGCCACAGAACAUAUAAGGAGUGAAACUGCUAAAAUGCUAGCCAAUUCAGUGCCUGCCUCGAAAGCACAAGGUCCUGAGUUCCAUCCACAGUAUAAAAAAAAAAAAAGUUAGCCA